rnacentral:misc_RNA from 1 species
AAAAAAAGUUUACACAAGAUCUAUUGGAAUCUUACUAGAAUUAGAAGUCCUAAACUAAUAGGGACUGUAAUUAAAUGGGAAAUAACAAGUAAUUGGAAAGUAAUAAAAUUUUGGAAAUAAUAAAAUUGCUGCCCACAGAUAUGGUUGAGCGCAACGUCUCUUGUCCAAACAUUACUUUCCUUUUGGAGAAAGCUUGUGCUUAAGCUCAACAGUAG